UUGGGCCUUAGGCCCAAACCGGAACCAAAUCCCAAAUCAAGCCUGAAGGUGAAAGCACACAACAGCUACGCCCAAAAACGCUUAUCCACAUCCAAAAGCUGUAACCAGAAAACGAUAAACAUGAACGAGAAAUAAAAAAUCCAAGCUGAAGAGUGCCAAAGCUCGUGUUUCUUUGAAAACCGGCAUAUCAUUCCAUCACAAUGUCGCGUCUUCAAGGCAAUUCAUCAUAGCUUCGCAUGGAUUAUGGUGUGGCGUUUCAAGAAGUUUCAUCAUCCCUUUCCGGAUUCGCAUUUUUCGCAUCAUGUUCGCGUUCGUGGAUCGCAUCUUCAAAGUUCAACGUCGAGGAUUAAUCUUCUUCGUGCAUCAGAGUUCAAGAAUUGCGUCUUGUGGGUUCUUAUCAUGGAUUCAUGUUUGGAUUUCAGUUGAAUCGCAACCAAACGCUCUAAUCGCAGCAAGGAGGUGGAAGGAGACUUACCAGACUUUGAGCUCCGACACGGUGGCUCUGUGGAGACGCACAAGGGGUGUUAAAUGGAAAGGCUUGUGAACUUUUGCUUGCGUUUGGAAAUUGUAUUGAAGAGUGGAGUUUGGCUUGAAGAAUGGAAUUUGGAAGGAACUUAAAUUGACAAAUGAUUGAAAAUGUAAAUUAUGUUAUUUUGGAUUGAAUUGUAUUAAAAUUUGAAGAUUGGUUUGAAAUGAAAGUGUGAAUUAGCUUGGUUAUUAUAAUUUGAUUGAGUGUUGUAAUGAAAACUGAAUAUGGUAAUGAAGUUGUAUUUUGAAUGGAAAUGUGAAGUGUCGGGUGGAAAUUGUAAUGUACAUGGAACUUGAAUGAAGGUGAAUGUAUUUUGAAUUGAAAAUGUGAAAUUGAAUGAUUGAAGAAAA